rnacentral:rRNA from 1 species
AUGAAGAUCACGGCGCUGCUGGUGCUCCGGUCCCCGGGGGACGCCUCCUCCUCGUCGUCCUCGACGGCGGGAGGGGGCGGCGGCGGUGAGCUGCAGCAGGCAGCGGUGCUGGCGAACGCGUCGGACGUGACCCGCUUCGGCUUCUUCCAGCGGCCGGCCGCGCGCGAGUUCAUCGUCUUCGUCGCCCGCACCGUCGCGCUCCGCACCCGCGCCGGCACCCGCCAGACCGUCCAGCACCAAGAGUACAAGGUGCAUUGCUACAACCAGGGCGGCCUCUGCGCCGUCGCCUUCACCGACGACCACUACCCCGUCCGGAGCGCCUUCUCCCUCCUCAGCAAGGUUCUUGAGGAGUACCUGAGGAGUUUCGGAGAGUCGUGGAGGACAGCGGAAGACAAGGCCGCCCAGCAUUGGCAAUAUCUCGACGACUCCUUGACUAAAUAUCAGGAUCCUGCAGAGGCCGACAAGCUGCUGAAGAUCCAGAGAGACUUAGAUGAAACCAAGAUUAUUCUUCACAAGACCAUCGACAGCGUGCUGCAAAGGGGCGAACGAUUGGAUAGCCUGGUAGAGAAGAGUUCUGAUCUAAGCGUCGCUUCACAGAUGUUCUACAAGCAGGCCAAGAAAACCAACUCCUGCUGCACAAUCCUGUAA